GCAUAGCUCAGUUGGCAGAGCAUGAGACUCAAUCUCAGGGUCGAGGGUUCGAGCCCCACCUUGGACA